rnacentral:tRNA from 2 species
GCCAACAGGGCUGCUUAGCAGGCUACUUUGAUAUAGUAGAUUGUGGAUUUAAAAUCCCGUUGGUA